rnacentral:rRNA from 1 species
UGCCUAGUACGGCGAGUGAAGCGGCAACAGCUCAAAUUUGAAAUCUGGGUCUCGGGCCCGAGUUGUAAUUUGUAGAGGAUGCUUUUGAUGCGGUGCCUUCCGAGUUCCCUGGAACGGGACGCCAUAGAGGGUGAGAGCCCCGUCUGGUUGGAUGCCAAAUCUCUGUAAAGCUCCUUCGACGAGUCGAGUAGUUUGGGAAUGCUGCUCUAAAUGGGAGGUAUAUGUCUUCUAAAGCUAAAUACCGGCCAGAGACCGAUAGCGCACAAGUAGAGUGAUCGAAAGAUGAAAAGCACUUUGAAAAGAGAGUUAAAAAGUACGUGAAAUUGUUGAAAGGGAAGCGUUUAUGACCAGACUUGGGCUUGGUUAAUCAUCUGGGGUUCUCCCCAGUGCACUUUUCCAGUCCAGGCCAGCAUCAGUUUUCGCCGGGGGAUAAAGGCUUCGGGAAUGUGGCUCUCUCCGGGGAGUGUUAUAGCCCGUUGCGUAAUACCCUGGCGGGGACUGAGGUUCGCGCAUCUGCAAGGAUGCUGGCGUAAUGGUCAUCAACGACCCGUCUUGAAACACGGACCCAG